rnacentral:rRNA from 1 species
UACGUAGGGUGCGAGCGUUGUCCGGAUUUAUUGGGCGUAAAGGGCUCGUAGGCGGCGUGUCGCGUCGGGAGUGAAAGACCGGGGCUUAACCCCGGUUCUGCUUCCGGUACGGGCAGACUAGAGUUCGGUAGGGGAGUCUGGAAUUCCUGGUGUAGCGGUGAAAUGCGUAGAUAUCAGGAGGAACACCUGUGGCGAAAGCGGCUCACUGGACCAUAACUGACGCUGAUGCACGAAAGCUAGGGGAGCAAACAGG